rnacentral:tRNA from 1 species
CCGGGCUUCUUGCCGAGGUGGUCGGCGGCGACCUCGCUGAGCGCGACGCUGCCGGUGCCGAAGCCGGCCAGUGAUCCCUCGCUGACGUCCGGG